rnacentral:snoRNA from 1 species
ACAUCAAGAUUUGGACAUGUCCUAAACACACUUUUGAACCUAUCCCAUGCUUCUGGACAUGUCUCAUGAUCCUUCUGUCUGAAAAGAUAUACUUCCUUUCUAAUUU